CCCUGCGCGGCUAACUGCAGUCGAGCGAACAGAUAGGAGCUUGCUCCUUUGACGUUAGCGGCGGACGGGUGAGUAACACGUGGGUAACCUACCUAUAAGACUGGGAUAACUUCGGGAAACCGGAGCUAAUACCGGAUAACAUUUGGAACCGCAUGGUUCUAAAGUGAAAGAUGGUUUUGCUAUCACUUAUAGAUGGACCCGCGCCGUAUUAGCUAGUUGGUAAGGUAACGGCUUACCAAGGCGACGAUACGUAGCCGACCUGAGAGGGUGAUCGGCCACACUGGAACUGAGACACGGUCCAGACUCCUACGGGAGGCAGCAGUAGGGAAUCUUCCGCAAUGGGCGAAAGCCUGACGGAGCAACGCCGCGUGAGUGAUGAAGGGUUUCGGCUCGUAAAACUCUGUUAUUAGGGAAGAACAAAUGUGUAAGUAACUGUGCACGUCUUGACGGUACCUAAUCAGAAAGCCACGGCUAACUACGUGCCAGCAGCCGCGGUAAUACGUAGGUGGCAAGCGUUAUCCGGAAUUAUUGGGCGUAAAGCGCGCGUAGGCGGUUUCUUAAGUCUGAUGUGAAAGCCCACGGCUCAACCGUGGAGGGUCAUUGGAAACUGGGAAACUUGAGUGCAGAAGAGGAAAGUGGAAUUCCAUGUGUAGCGGUGAAAUGCGCAGAGAUAUGGAGGAACACCAGUGGCGAAGGCGACUUUCUGGUCUGUAACUGACGCUGAUGUGCGAAAGCGUGGGGAUCAAACAGGAUUAGAUACCCUGGUAGUCCACGCCGUANACGAUGAGUGCUAAGUGUUAGGGGGUUUCCGCCCCUUAGUGCUGCAGCUAACGCAUUAAGCACUCCGCCUGGGGAGUACGACCGCAAGGUUGAAACUCAAAGGAAUUGACGGGGACCCGCACAAGCGGUGGAGCAUGUGGUUUAAUUCGAAAGCACGCGAAGAACCUUUACAAAUNCUGACAUCCCUUUGAAACUCUAGAGAUAGAGCCUUUCCCCUUCGGGGACAAAGUGACAGGUGGUGCAUGGUUGUCGUCAGCUCGUGUCGUGAGAUGUUGGGGUUAGUCCCGCACGAGCGCAACCUUUAAGCUUAGUGCCCAUCAUAAGUGGGCACUCUAGGUUGACGCCGGUGACAAACGGGAAGAAGGUGGGGAUGACGUCAAUCAUCAGGCCCCUAAGAAUGGGGCUACCCCGUGCUCAAUGGCAAUACAAGGGCGACUUAACCCGGGGCCUGGAAAUCCAAAAGUGUUUCCAUUCGGAGGUAAUCGCCCCUCCCCCCAUAAACGGAGACCUCUAAUCUAAA
rnacentral:rRNA from 1 species